rnacentral:piRNA from 1 species
UUUCCUACUUUAUGAGGCCUUUUCUGACU